rnacentral:lncRNA from 1 species
CAGGAAAUUGUGCAUGCUGCAAGUGCAGCCAAAACAAACAAACAAAAAAAACCAGAAAAACAGUUCCAACUUUUGGACUUACUACUGGAGGGAUAUAAACAAUUUACUAACCUCUAUAAGCUUCUAUUUAUUUUUUAUAGAGUAGACAUGAUAUGAAAAACACCUAUUCAUAUGAUUGCCACAAACCUUAAAUAAGUCAGGCAAAUUAACCAUCACAGCACCUGGAAUAUAGCAAGUUCUCAUUAAAUAUUAGCUAUUAUUAUUUCCUUUGUUGUUGCCAUCAUUGUUGUCGUUAUAGGUUUCUGAAACUGUACACCAAGGAAAAAAUAUUUUAAUGCCCAACACAAAUCUUCCUUCUCAAUGAUCUGAUAACUGACUCACUUGAAAUUCCAGAGGAAUCGGGAGCGUCUGGACAUGUCAACCAUUCAUCUCUCAAGAUUCUCUACGCUUUAUCCCUGUAUCAAGUCAGAUCAUCAGAAUGGUACAUACCAGGACUGUACUAUUGUAGCCCCCUUCAGAAAUACUUUUACAGAGCUGUGAUUUAGCAACUUGCCCUUGGCUUCUUAUCAAAGGUCAGUGCAAGAAAUGGCCGUAUGAAGAAUGCCUAUGCUCUUUUUGUAAAACUGCUAUUGAAGAUCUUGUCCAUUUUAGUGUUUAAUGUCACUUAGACAAAGACUUUGCUAUAAAUUCUUCUUAGAGCUAAGUCUAAUGAUUUUUAGCAUAUCUGUUUUUUUGUUUUAAAGCCAUCCUUCUGGAAAGCAGAAAGGGCUUUAAUAAUAAAUAGAAGAUUCCUUUCAACAUGUACAUUUCUAGAAAAUGUUACCAGCUACUUACCUAUCUCCAUGGUCAAAUAAAAAUGGAAAAAAAUGGAAAUAUUACCUUAAUAGGAGGAGUUCCCUAGUAGCCUGGUGGUUAAAGAUUCUGCACUGUCACAUCUGUGGCUCAGGUUCGAUCCCUGGCUGAGGGAAUUUUGUAUGCUGCGGGUGCGGCCAAUAGAGAAUAGAGAAUAUUUGCACACAGAAAGAUUACCUGCAAGAGAGGGAAAAGGGAUGUAUUGCUGAUAAUAAAAUUUCAGGGCAAGGACUUUUUGGAGGGUAGGGCUUUGCAGUCACAUCAUGUAUACCUCAAGUUACAAAGUGGCAGAUCUUUGCUGUUUGGUUUGCUCAGUGUUUUUAAAAACAUUGUGAGGAGGAAAUGUUAUACUUAGCUAGAAUACAAGCUUUCAGGAACCUAUUGUCAUCUUCAAGAAUUUUUCCCUAUUAAAUUAAUCACUAUAAUCAAGGUCCUUUUCAUAAAUAGUAGUAUAUGAUAUAAUAGCCCCUGCUGCAUUACUUUAGGCAGAAGAACCUCUUGAACAUUUAUAUAAAAGCUUGUAAAACUUGAAGCAGUGUUUUCUGAAAAGCUAAAGAGAUCAUGGGAAAGAAGAUUUACACAACCAUCCUUCAGUCAUUUCUGCUGACUUCCUAAAAUGAAUUGCCUGCCUCCAAUCCCUUUAGCAUCGCUAUGGGGCCUGGAGAUGGCACCCUCAAAGCAUGCAGGGAUGCUCAGAAGUAUUCAUACCACCACAUCUUUCUCAGAGCCUAUUGUCUUCACUGUAGAAAUAAGGUAACAGCAGAACUGAAUUUUCUCUAUUAGCUUAUUAAAACAUAUGUUCUGUGUUGUAGAGUUUGAAAUAUUACUCUCAUAAUGAAGGAAAUAUAGUGAAUCUAUGGAAAAGUGAGUGCUUCUAAAUUAUGGCAGAAGCCAAUAACUUGAGAAAAUGAUUUUUCUACAGAUUGAAAACACCACAAAGUGUCAGCCAGAACUGUCAGCAGGCAGGAAUAUCCUGAAGAAAAUAACUUUAUCAGUAUCAGUUGGCCAUGUAUUUUCUUCCCCCAACAAUUUCCAAAAAAACAAGCAUGUACAUAUAUUAGUUAUCCCAAAUAUGUACUGAAAUCAUGUUUACCAACUGUUAUUUCUGAUUAAAUACUAUUAAUAAUAGGACUCUGUCUCUGGUAAAUCUAAAAGCCUAAAAGUUAGUUAGAUCUUAAUUUGAAGCAUACUUUUUUAGCAGUACUCCCUUGAAAACUGGAACAGGCAGUAUGCAUAUUUUUGUUUGGAUGUAUUGGCCUUAUAACCAUUUUUGUUUCAAAGUUGGGACUUAUAAACAGAUCUGGCCCCCAACCUCCCAAAGCAAAGACCUAUUGCUAAGUUCUGGGUUACCACCAAUUUCAUAACAAAACAAAAUGGAAGAUGAAUAAUACUCUAUGGAUUUUUUCCCCCAGGCAAAAUUUCAAAUCGAAAUGGUUUUCACAUAUCUGAAAUCACAAUAAAUCCCCCAGCAGUAAAUAGUCGGUGGGUGAACAGUUGUGGACAUAUAAAGCAAUAAAAAUCUUACAAACGUGGCUAUAUACUUGUGGUUUAGCAUUUUAGGAACAAGUCUAUACUCCAUCAGAAUAGGUACCAUAAUAUUUUGUUCGCCAGAGGGCACUAAGAGUUCUCUCUGUUAUGGGAUGUGAAUUCUUAUUCUGGAGACCUCUUCUUUUUAUUCCCCUACUUUUGUAUUCUUUUUCUCAUUCAUAGUUUCAUUAGAACAUUCUGACUGACCUUCAUCUUCCAAAAUUCACUAUCCUGUCUUAUGCCUUUGAAUCAUUUCUUUAUUGGCAGAACAUCAAUAGCUUAUUGAAGUACCUUAAAAAAAAUCAUGUUUCUUCCAUAUCGAUUGCUUAUGAUUUAAUUAUGAUAGUUUUAAAAGAUUACUAAAAUAAUUUAAAAUUAAAUACAAUACCACUUAUGAUAUUAAAAUUUCAGCCAAGAUUUAUUAUUGUUCUUUAUGGCAGAGAUUGGUUGAAAUGUUUAAAACACAUGGUCCUACCUUCAAGAGAGAAAAAUUGGCUAUACAUUGAACAAACUUAAUCUUUCCAAUUCUAGUUCUUUCAUUCUUUUGUUCUAUAAAAUGGGUAUGUGUGCAAUGUUGAGAUAUGAUUUGAUAUCAUCAUUUUAUUUGCUGUAAUUACCCAUGGGGUGAUUUUACUUGGGUAUGAUUUUUUAUUUGAAAUAUUCAUGUUGAUUAUUAGUUGAACCUUAGUAGCAAAAGAUACAUAAAUACCAAGUUUACUUUGCUAAUACUCACCAUAAAAAUCUAACAGAAGGCUUGAAUUAAUGUAAUUACCACAAAUUAAAAUUAAAGAAAGUUCUCUGACAGCAACUUCAAACAUCAAUGGGGAAUAAAUCAAUUUAAAGCAACUGCUAUUUCAAAAGAGAUAAAAUGAAUUAUAACAGUGCAUACUGACUCAAAAACCUCAGGACAUUAUUAAUAAAUAUUGUUUCUAUCCUAAGGUUUAGGGAACUAUGAAGCUAGUACAAAAUAUUAUGUAUUAAGAAUUAAUUUAGUUUUCAACGGGGAUUCCUACAGGAAGAAGACUUAUGAAAUCACUCCUACUGUGCAUUUCCCCUUAUGACAUUUGAUCCCAGAGGCACAUUUUAACUAAAUUUGACAGCAGGAAAGAAAGUCCAAAGCUAAACAGCACCACACAAGUUUUUGAAACAGGUGACAGCUAAUGGCACAAACAGUUCAUAUUAAUAAUCAAAUGCUGGCUACCCUGUGGAUCACUACUGUGUGCUAAUGAGGAGAGCCUUGCUUUCUCUCCAGGCAAGCAGCUCUCUGUGAAGCUUCUAAUACUUCUAAAAACUGAUGGCCAUACAGAGAGAGAAUGCAAUAGUUACUACCUGCUACUUGCAACUGAUGCACACAUAACUCAUGGGAAAUCCGAUUAGUUGGGUCAAGAGUUGAGCCUUAUUUAUGUGUAUUCUUCUAAUCCACUUUAACAAGACUUUUUCAAGCAAAGUUAAAAUAUUUAAAAUAUUAAAAUGAUUCUCCUAUGAGCCACAGGAAAUAUUUCCAGGGUUAUUAUUUUUGUUUUGUUUUUUUUCGUCCUCUUAAAGAAGAAGGGUAAACAUUGUCUCUGGAUAUCAAAUCUUUGGUUCUCCUUUCUAUGGCUCAACAUGCCUUUCUGAUAUUUCAUAAUAGUCUCCUGCAGUCUUGAGCAGAGAAGGUAGAAUCUGCUGUCGAGUUAUGUGGUGGCAGCCACUAACCAGACUUGUGGAUUUAUGUGAACUUAUGGUCACUGGUUGGAUGAAAGCCUGCUUUCACGUCCUGUGCCUGAGCUCAUACAUGAAGCCCUCACAUUCUGUACACAAAAAAACAGCGCAACUGAUGAGAAGAAAUUCUUUAUGAGUCCUAGGGUGGUAGAUCAUUUUACUAUUCUCUUCUGGUUCUCUUUCUCUCUUAAGAUAGUUGCUUACAAAAUGCAAUAUGUAUAGGAAAACAUUAGCUGAAGUUUGAAUUUAGCUUGUGUGUCACCCCUUCUUCAUUACUUAGUUGUCUUGCUUUUCACUAUUUUCUUACUCUUUCACUGCCUUUUUCAAAUAGAGCCAAAAGAGUACCUUAUCAUUGUUAGCUGUUCUGCAAUACCUUUGCAUAAUUUUUAUUUUUCAUAUUAUUUUUAUUUUUAUAUAAAUAUAGUUGAUAUACAAUAGUAUAUAAAAUUGCAGUAUACAAUAUAUUGAUUAGGAUUUUUAAAGGUUAUACCCCAUUUAUAUUUAUUAUAAAACAUUGGCUCUAUUCCUGUAUUACACAAUAUGUCCUUGAAGCUUAUUCUAUACAUAAUACUUUGUAAUUUUUAAUCCUCUAUGACUAUAGUGCCCCUCCCCCUUCCCUAUCCCCACUGGUAAAAACUAGUGUGUUCCUGUGUCUGUGAAUCUGCUUCUUUUUUGGUUAUAUUAACUAGUUUAUUGUAUAUUUUAGAUUCCACAUAUAAGUGAUAUCAUACAGUAUUUUUCUUUUCUCUGUCUUAUUUCACUUAGCAUAAUGCCCUCCAAGUCCAUCUAUGUUGUUACAAUAGCAAAAUUUUAUUAAUUUUAUGGCUGAGUAAUGUUCCAAGUUGUGUGUAUGUGUGUGACUUAUUCUUUAUCCAUUCAUGUGUUGAUGGGUACUUAGGUUGCUUCUAUAUCGGCAAUUGUAAAUAGGGCUGCUACAAACAUUAAAGUGCUUGUAUCUUUUUUGAAUUAGUGUUUUCUUUUUUUCAAAUAUAUACCCAGGAGUAGAUUUGCUGUGUCAUAUGGUGGUUCUGUUUCUUCAGUUUUGGAGAACACUCCAUGCUUUUUUCCGUGGUGGUUAAACCAAUUUACAUUCCCACCACAGUUUAGGAGGAUUGAUUUUCAGCAUAUCUUCACCAACAUUUGUUAUUUUUUUUGAUUGUUUGUCUGUUUGCUUUGGUUCAUAGCCAUUCUGACAGGUGUGAGGUGAUAUCUCAUUGUGGUUUUGACUUGCAUUUUACUCAUGAUUAGCCACGUUAAGCAUCUUUUCAUGUGUCUGUUGGCCAUUUGCAUUUCCUCUUCAGAAAAAAUGUCUACUCAGGUCUUCUGCACAUUUUUUAAUCAGUUUUUUUUUUUUGAUGUUGAGUCAUAUGAGCUAUUUAUGUAUGUUGGAUAUUAACCUCUUAUUGAUCGCAUCAUUUACAAAUAUUUCCUCCCUUUCAGUAAGUGGUUUUUUUCUUUUCAUUUUGUUGAUAGCAUCCUUUGCUGUGCAAAAGCUUUUAAGUAAAAUCAGAUCCAAUUUUUAUAUUUUUGCUUUUGUUCCCUUUGCUUUAGGAGAAAAAAAAAUACAUGUAUACUACAUAUAUUUACCUAUGCUUUAUGAUUUACCAAUGUUUUCCUCUAGAAGUUUUAUGGUUUGUACUCUUACAUUUAAGUCUUUAAUACAAUUUAAGUUUAUUUUUAUAUACGGUGUGAGAAAAUGUUCUAAUUUCAUUCUUUUAAAUGUAGCUGUCCAGUUUCAGCACCAAUUAAUGAAGUGACUGUCUUUUCUCCAUUGUAUAUUCUUGACUUCUUGGUCUUAAAUUAAUUGACCAUAAGUGUAUAGGUUUAUUUCUGGCUCUCUAUAUUGUUCCACUGAUUUGUAUUUCUAUUUUUGUGCCAGGACUAUACUGUUUUGACUUGUAGCUUUGUAGUAUAGUCUGAGAUCAGGGGGCACAAACCCUUCAGCUCUGUUCUUCCUUCCUCAAGAUUGUUUUAGCUAUUUGGGAUAUUUUGUGUUUCCUUACAAAUUUUGAAAUUUUUGUCCCAGUUCUGUGAAGAAUGCCAUUGGUACUUUUUGACAGGGAAUGCAUUGAAUCUGAAGAUUGUCUUGGGUAGUAUGAUCAUUUUAAUAAUAUUAAUUUUUCCAAUCAAAAAACAUAGUAUACCUUUUCAUCUAUGUUGUCUUCAAUUUCUUUCAUUGGUGUCUUACACUUUUCUGAGUACAGGUAUUUAUAUCCCUUUCCUUCUCAAAAUUCUCCAACAAGUUGCAGAGGAAGAAACACUUCCAAACUCAUUCUAAGAGGCCAGAACCAGCCUAAGACCAAACCCAGACAAAGAUAUCACAAAAAAAAAAAAAA